UGGGGAAUAUUGGACAAUGGGCGAAAGCCUGAUCCAGCCAUGCCGCGUGUGUGAAGAAGGUCUUCGGAUUGUAAAGCACUUUAAGUUGGGAGGAAGGGCAGUAAGCGAAUACCUUGCUGUUUUGACGUUACCGACAGAAUAAGCACCGGCUAACUCUGUGCCAGCAGCCGCGGUAAUACAGAGGGUGCAAGCGUUAAUCGGAAUUACUGGGCGUAAAGCGCGCGUAGGUGGUUCGUUAAGUUGAAUGUGAAAGCCCCGGGCUCAACCUGGGAACUGCAUCCAAAACUGGCGAGCUAGAGUAGGGCAGAGGGUGGUUGAAUUUCCUGUGUAGCGGUGAAAUGCGUAGAUAUAGGAAGGAACACCAGUGGCGAAGGCGACCACCUGGGCUCAUACUGACACUGAGGUGCGAAAGCGUGGGGAGCAAACAGG
rnacentral:rRNA from 1 species